UACGUAGGGUGCAAGCGUUAAUCGGAAUUACUGGGCGUAAAGCGUGCGCAGGCGGCUUUGCAAGACAGAUGUGAAAUCCCCGGGCUUAACCUGGGAACUGCAUUUGUGACUGCAUGGCUAGAGUGCGGCAGAGGGGGAUGGAAUUCCGCGUGUAGCAGUGAAAUGCGUAGAUAUGCGGAGGAACACCGAUGGCGAAGGCAAUCCCCUGGGCCAUUACUGACGCUGAGGAGCGAAAGCGUGGGGGGCGAACAGG
rnacentral:rRNA from 1 species